UACGUAGGGGGCAAGCGUUGUCCGGAAUCAUUGGGCGUAAAGAGCGUGUAGGCGGCUCGGUAAGUCCGCUCUGAAAGCCCGGGGCUCAACCCCGGGAGGCGGGCGGAUACUGUCGGGCUAGAGUCCGGAAGAGGCGAGUGGAAUUCCUGGUGUAGCGGUGAAAUGCGCAGAUAUCAGGAGGAACACCGGUGGCGAAGGCGGGUCUCUGGGCCGAUACUGACGCUGAGGAGCGAAAGCGUGGGGAGCGAACAGG
rnacentral:rRNA from 1 species